rnacentral:rRNA from 1 species
GACGAACGCUGGCGGCGUGCUUAACACAUGCAAGUCGUACGGUAAGGCCCUUUCGGGGGUACACGAGUGGCGAACGGGUGAGUAACACGUGAGUAACCUGCCCACAACUUUGGGAUAACGCUAGGAAACUGGUGCUAAUACUGGAUAUGUGCUCCUGCUGCAUGGUGGGGGUUGGAAAGCUCCGGCGGUUGUGGAUGGACUCGCGGCCUAUCAGCUUGUUGGUGGGGUAGUGGCCUACCAAGGCGGCGACGGGUAGCCGGCCUGAGAGGGUGACCGGCCACAUUGGGACUGAGAUACGGCCCAGACUCCUACGGGAGGCAGCAGUGGGGAAUAUUGCACAAUGGGCGCAAGCCUGAUGCAGCAACGCCGCGUGCGGGAUGACGGCCUUCGGGUUGUAAACCGCUUUCAGCAGGGACGAAGCUUUUUGUGACGGGACCGGCAGAAGAAGCACCGGCGAACUACGU